UAACAUCUGUGUUCGAAGAACCGAAAGGGUUAAGCCUGUUAUGUGUUCUCGUGGCGGCGUCACUGGCAGCGAGGUAAUGCCUCCAUUGAUGUUGUUCCCAUUCUCAGAGGCAGCCUUGCUUGCUGUUGCAGCCCGUUGCCGCAUUUGCGUAUAUGCGGUCAUUGCGGUGUGCAGAAGGAAAACACAGAUACGAUCACGUGUACCUUGCAGACCAGGGUUGGGCAAGCUUUUUGAACUAGAGACCAAAAAUUUUGCUCAAGGAGACUCGCCAUAUAUUCCACAGUGGCUUCUACGUCCUUCAAGGUUUUUGGUGACAACAGACUGAGUUUAUGAGAUUUCAUGCAAUGGGUUUUUGUGUCCCAGUAAAUUUUCGAAGUCUGACCGGCGUAUGCUUUAAUAAGAAGAAACAAAAGUUAAAGUAACGUAGAGAUUCACGCCCUCUCAAAAUUAUCUAUGCCCACCUUGUUGGGCUGUUUGAAAACCACUGGUUCAAGUCAUUUCAGUGAGGUAACCUGAGUAUCAGAUAAAUGAAGACUCGUGGCUGAUGUUGACGUAUGACAAAUUCUUAUGUCUGUAUCAUUCUGUGCGUUCGCCACAAGAAUCAUCAUUGACCACAUUAUCAUUGUAUGAGUCAAGACUUGAGGUAUGAUUUUAUUUUUCAUG